rnacentral:rRNA from 1 species
UUAAGCGACUAAGCGUACACGGUGGAUGCCCUGGCAGUCAGAGGCGAUGAAGGACGUGCUAAUCUGCGAUAAGCGUCGGUAAGGUGAUAUGAACCGUUAUAACCGGCGAUUUCCGAAUGGGGAAACCCAGUGUGUUUCGACACACUAUCAUUAACUGAAUCCAUAGGUUAAUGAGGCGAACCGGGGGAACUGAAACAUCUAAGUACCCCGAGGAAAAGAAAUCAACCGAGAUUCCCCCAGUAGCGGCGAGCGAACGGGGAGCAGCCCAGAGCCUGAAUCAGUGUGUGUGUUAGUGGAAGCGUCUGGAAAGGCGCGCGAUACAGGGUGACAGCCCCGUACACAAAAAUGCACAUGCUGUGAGCUCGAUGAGUAGGGCGGGACACGUGGUAUCCUGUCUGAAUAUGGGGGGACCAUCCUCCAAGGCUAAAUACUCCUGACUGACCGAUAGUGAACCAGUACCGUGAGGGAAAGGCGAAAAGAACCCCGGCGAGGGGAGUGAAAAAGAACCUGAAACCGUGUACGUACAAGCAGUGGGAGCACGCUUAGGCGUGUGACUGCGUACCUUUUGUAUAAUGGGUCAGCGACUUAUAUUCUGUAGCAAGGUUAACCGAAUAGGGGAGCCGAAGGGAAACCGAGUCUUAACUGGGCGUUAAGUUGCAGGGUAUAGACCCGAAACCCGGUGAUCUAGCCAUGGGCAGGUUGAAGGUUGGGUAACACUAACUGGAGGACCGAACCGACUAAUGUUGAAAAAUUAGCGGAUGACUUGUGGCUGGGGGUGAAAGGCCAAUCAAACCGGGAGAUAGCUGGUUCUCCCCGAAAGCUAUUUAGGUAGCGCCUCGUGAAUUCAUCUCCGGGGGUAGAGCACUGUUUCGGCAAGGGGGUCAUCCCGACUUACCAACCCGAUGCAAACUGCGAAUACCGGAGAAUGUUAUCACGGGAGACACACGGCGGGUGCUAACGUCCGUCGUGAAGAGGGAAACAACCCAGACCGCCAGCUAAGGUCCCAAAGUCAUGGUUAAGUGGGAAACGAUGUGGGAAGGCCCAGACAGCCAGGAUGUUGGCUUAGAAGCAGCCAUCAUUUAAAGAAAGCGUAAUAGCUCACUGGUCGAGUCGGCCUGCGCGGAAGAUGUAACGGGGCUAAACCAUGCACCGAAGCUGCGGCAGCGACGCUUAUGCGUUGUUGGGUAGGGGAGCGUUCUGUAAGCCUGUGAAGGUGUACUGUGAGGUAUGCUGGAGGUAUCAGAA